CAGGGUUUCCUCCAUGGUUAUUUCUUGCUGGAUAUCGAUGCUUUUGACCCCAUGAUGAAAAAAAUCACCGCUGCUGGACUCGGCUGAGAGAUGUGUGACCUUCAAGGAGAGGAGGAUGCAUGACAGGAACUUCACAGGAAGAGAAAAGGUGCACCAGUGUGAGAGAAGGAAGGAAGGAGGGCAUUUCAGGGUAGAGUUAUGUUAGCCACCGAGUGCAGAGUGUGAAAAGUGUCUCCUCUCCUCUCUUCUGUGGGCCGGGGCGUGACGACCUUAUUCCUGACAUUGCACAAUAAUGCUGCAAAUGAAGCGGAGCACAAACAUGCGGCAGCUGACACACAAGCUGACACUGCUGCGCUUUGACCCAGGACUGGUUCCUCAGCCCUGCCAUAAUCGCGUGGCUGAUAAUAAACGGUUGCUUCUUCACCUGCCUGUGCCGGAGCUUCCUGAGCUGAUGAUAUAUAUGUGGGACGACGGGGUGGAGAUGACAAUGUAGGUGUGGAGGAAGUCAAUGCAGGUGUGUGUGUGUGUGUGCUGUCCCAGGUGGGUGCUGACAGACCGGCAGGUAAACAGGCAGGUUGGUCUCUGAUCUCACCUGUUGGAGCAGACACAGCAGCGCCUGCAGGGCCUCUGCAGCGGAAACAUGUUCUUUAUGUGAUGCUGGAAAAGCCAGAUCAGCUCUUCUUCUCUUCUCUUCUCUUGUUGAGCAGUGAGGUGCAAAGUGGGGGCGGGCCCCAAAGGGAGGAAGAAGAAAUCCUUGGGACCACGGCAACGCAGGGACAGACGAGGGUCCCUCAUUUUAAAAAACACGUAACCUCCAGGUCCGGAGGAACCAUAUUUUCCCUGGACGACCCAGGCUCGGCGUCCCAUGUUGACAAGCAUCUGCUGUGCUGAAACGGCCCGAAGCGAGACCCUGAAUCCGUGCCAGCUGCAGGGGGUGCUGCUCUGUCGCUGACCCUGACCUCUGAACUUCCUGAGUCUGUGGAAAAGCGAUCGACACUUGGAAUGUCUAGAAUGCGAGAGGAAGCGAGAGUCUUUUGGAGCCACGCCCCCCUGACGGCGGGUCAAACUUCAGUGAUUGGUUCAUCCCUGGGGGUCAGAGGGCAAUUGCAAUCCUGUCACUCCUCUGAAGAAAGGUCGGGGGUCAACUUCCACCGGAGCUCUCUUUUUCCUCCCAUCUCCCGGUGUUCUUCAUCCGUGUUCUCCGGCUCUAUUGAGGAGGGACGGACCAUCAAAGUCGAAUGAUUCAUCGAAAUUGUCCACACUGGGAAAAAAAGGCAAGAAUAACGUCCAUCUGGUGGGACUGUGGGAGGAAGCCAGGAUGCCCCUGAACAGAACCCACGUGCACACACGCGGAAGAACACGCCGACUCCACAGGAAAAGGCCCUUGAUUGAACCCGUGACCUUGUUGCUGUGAGGCAACAACGCUAUAGCCACUG